GACCUGGGGGGGUCAAGGGAGGGGAUCCUGGGUGCAAGUGGGGUGCAGGGAGCAAACUGCGUGCAAAGAGUGGGCAGGGAGCGUGCAAAGAGUGUGCAGGGAGUGUGCAGGGAGCAUGCAACCGGUGUGCAAAGAGUGUGCAGGGAGCGUGCAGCCAGUGUGCAGGGAGCAUGCAAGCGUGGUGCCAGCAUAGUGCAGGAAGUGUGCAACCCGUGUGCAAAGUAUGUGCAAAGAGUGUGCAGGGAGCGUGCAACCAGUGUGCAAAGAGUGUGCAGGGAGCGUGCAAUCAGUGUGCAAAGAGUGUGCAGGGAGCGUGCAACCGGUGUGCAAAGAGUGUGCAGGGAGCGUGCAGCCAGCGUGCAAAGAGUGUGCAGGGAGCGUGCAACCAGUGUGCGAAGAAUAUGCAAAGAGUGUGCAGGGAGCGUGCAACCAGUGUGCGAAGAAUAUGCAAAGUGUGUGCAGGGAGCAUGCAACCAGCGUGCAAAGAGUGUGCAGGGAGAAUGCAACCAGCAUGCAGAGAGUGUGCAGGGAGCAUGCAACCAGUGUGCAAAGAAUAUGAAAAGAGUGUGCAACCAGUGUGCAAAGAGUGUGCAGGGAGCGUGCAACCCGUGUGCAAAGUAUGUGCAAAGAGUGUGCAGGGAGCGUGCAACCAGUGUGCAAAGAGUGUGCAAAGUGUGUGCAGGGAGCGUGCAACCAGCGUGGAAAGAGUGUGCAGGGAGCAUGCAACCCGUGUGCAAAGUAUGUGCAAAGAGUGUGCAGGGAGCGUGCAACCAGUGUGCAAAGAGUGUGCAGGGAGC
rnacentral:lncRNA from 1 species